AGAGUUUGAUCCUGGCUCAGGAUGAACGCUGGCGGCGUGCUUAACACAUGCAAGUCGAACGGAGCACCGGACACGGACUAUUUCGGUAGGAAGCGUGCGGAGGCUUAGUGGCGGACGGGUGAGUAACGCGUGGAUAACCUGCCGCAUACCGGGGGAUAACAGCUGGAAACAGCUGCUAAUACCGCAUAUGCCCGCAGUGCCGCAUGGCACAGCGGGGAAAACUCCGGUGGUAUGCGAUGGGUCCGCGUCUGAUUAGGCAGUUGGCGGGGUAACGGCCCACCAAACCGACGAUCAGUAGCCGGCCUGAGAGGGCGGACGGCCACACUGGGACUGAGACACGGCCCAGACUCCUGCGGGAGGCAGCAGUGGGGAAUAUUGCACAAUGGGGGAAACCCUGAUGCAGCGACGCCGCGUGAAGGAAGAAGUAUCUCGGUAUGUAAACUUCUAUCAGCAGGGAAGAAAACAGACGGUACCUGACUAAGAAGCCCCGGCUAACUACGUGCCAGCAGCCGCGGUAAUACGUAGGGGGCAAGCGUUAUCCGGAUUUACUGGGUGUAAAGGGGGCGCAGACGGCCAUGGCAAGCCCGGUGUGAAAGGCAGGGGCAUAACCCCUGGACUGCACUGGGAACUGUCAGGCUGGAGUGCCGGAGGGGUAAGCGGAAUUCCUGGUGUAGAGGUGAAAUGCGUAGAUAUCAGGAGGAACACCGGCGGCGAAGGCGGCUUACUGGACGGCAACUGACGUUGAGGCUCGAAAGCGUGGGGAGCGAACAGGAUUAGAUACCCUGGUAGUCCACGCCGUAAAC
rnacentral:rRNA from 1 species